GGAAGCAGUUGGCUGGCGACUGUCAUCAAUCCUGACUUGCUGAAACUUGCUGUCUUUUGCAAUAGCUGCUUAAGAUAAAUUGUUUUGUUUAAAAAAUGAUCUGUCGACCUUCCCCACAUUUGCAAUGAUGAAACACUACUUUAAUCCCACGACUCUCGUGAAUCCCUUGUGCAAGAGUAAUUCAUUAAGAAUAUUUGUCUCUUUUACUUUUCAAGGCAUGGAUGGACCACUUACUCUUGCUGAGAAGACACCCAGAGAUGGCAAUUGAUAAUGCCCAUUUCGGUCCCCCAGCUAUAUACGUCACGGCUCCCAGAAAGAGGUAUCAUUUGUUAUGAGAGCACACUGCUGGAUGGAGCACCUUCCCACAGUGAAUUAAAUGGGCUUUGUCAGUUGAGAAAGAUUCCUGAAGCAAAGGCAACCCUGAUUUUCAUUCAGUUAGGUGACAUCAAGUGCACCUUUCAUUUAAUGACCAGGUUUUUGCCUCAACAUUUCAACUUGUGGACCUGCAAUCCUUCCAUCAACCAUAUCUAUCUAUCUAUCUAUCUAUCUAUCUAUCUAUCUAUCUAUCUAUCUAAUCUAUCUAUCUAUCUAUCUAUCUAUCUAUCUAUCUAUCUAUCUAUCUAUCUAUCUAUCUAUCUAUCUAUCUAUCUAUCUAUCUAUCUAUCUAUCUAUCUAUCUAUUUGUAGUAGCUACCCAACUUACUGGGCUUGGAAGGAAGGCACAGCAAGACAAAUAAAUGGUUCCAAGAAACAGUUUAUACUUAAACAAUUCAUAAUUAGUGAAUACAAAGCAACUAUGAAGGAAAUUAAACAGGAACUAUUUACAACUACAAGUAAUUAUAAACCCCUCAUUGUUAUGGCUAAGAGAGAUGCCCUAAGUACUCUAUUUCCCUUUUCAGAACGUUGUCUCUCACGCCACUCCACUGCAAUCCCCCUCACCUUCCACCUCCUCAUACUGUUGUUGAACCUUCCUGAAGCUCCCCCCCCCACAUCCUUCAUUUUAUCUCAGCCAUCCAAGACACCACCCUUUUCUUCCUAGAGUGUCUGUCCAUUCCCCGACAGAUAAUCCUCCCCGCUGCUCUCAACUGUCAGGCUACAUCCUAGCUGGGAUGCUACACUAUUUCAUAUUAAAAAAUCUAAUCAAAUCUAAUAAAUAGUCUACACAACAUUUAUCAUAUAGGUAAAAUGUGUUAUGCUGCAUUAAGUUGAGAUACAAUGCACAUUUUGCUAACAAUGUGAAGAACUUGUGAAACAUUGCACUAGCUUGCCCCUAGUAAACACUGGCCACCCUUCUUAUGUUUCAUGUUCUUUUUCAGUGGCUAACAAGUAAUUGUUUCUGGUUAGAACCUUUUGGAGAAUACUGGCUAUACAUUUUAUUGCAAUGAGGUGGAAAUACAAUUAGGUAGGUAAAACAAAAUGGGUCAUUCCCGGAACUAAAAGGACAUUAUUGUUUUACUUCUUUUACAGGGAGUCAAUAUUAGGUGUGAGAUUCUUUGAUGCUUUGAAGCAAAUAGGAUGGAAGCCUCAUUAAAGAGCUGGUUUGAACAACUUGGGCUUUCACUUUAUUGUGUCUGAAUUCACUUGACAAAGAACUGUUGUAUUUGCACUAAAUAAAAUCUUUCAAAUCAUCAAA